UACGUAGGGGCUAGCGUUAUCCGGAAUUACUGGGCGUAAAGGGUGCGUAGGUGGUUUCUUAAGUCAGAGGUGAAAGGCUACGGCUCAACCGUAGUAAGCCUUUGAAACUGGGAAACUUGAGUGCAGGAGAGGAGAGUGGAAUUCCUAGUGUAGCGGUGAAAUGCGUAGAUAUUAGGAGGAACACCAGUGGCGAAGGCGAUUCUCUGGACUGUAACUGACGCUGAGGCUCGAAAGCGUGGGGAGCAAACAGGAUUAGAUACCCCGGUAGUCCCUGAG
rnacentral:rRNA from 1 species